UCAACCAUUUGCAGUUUAGGUUCUCUCCAAAUUUUGGAGUUAGCCAACAAUCUGCUAACUGGGUUAAUUCCUCAAUGUUUGGUAAACACCAAUAAAUAUCUCAUUGUGUUGGACUUGCACCAGAAUCAAUUUUACGGAUCAAUUCCAACGAUUUUUAAGACAAACUCUUUGUUGAGACUUAAUUUGCGUGAGAAUCAGUUAGAGGGAAUAGUACCGCAAUCUUUAAUCAAUUGUAAAAAGUUGGAAGUUCUUGAUCUUGGACACAAUAACUUGAAUGGUACAUUUCCAAUGUGGUUAGGAGCUCUUUCGGAACUAAAGGUUCUUAGCUUGAGAUUUAACCGAUUGAACGGUUUCAUAACAAAUACGAAGAUGAAAGGGUAUUUAUUUCCUCAACUUCGUGUCUUCGAUCUCUCUUACAAUGAAUUUCUGGGGAUUUGCCCAUAUGGUUUUUCAAGGAUUUUAGUGCCAUGACAAGUGUUGAUAAUUAUAGAAUACCAAAAGACAUAUACCAAGACCACUUUAAUUGUAGCCUUUUCCAUAGUGGUUGUUCAAAUAAUGAGCGUAUUAUAUAUCACUAUGGAGAUUCUAUGGUGGUUGAAAUAAAGGGGCAAGAGCGUCAGCUUGUAAGUACAAUAUUCAUUUUGUACAGUGCUAUUGAUCUCUCAUGCAAUAAAUUUGAAGGCCAUAUUCCAAAUAGCAUCAGAGAUCUUCUUGCACUACGUGAGUUAAAUCUAUCACAUAAUAUGUUCACUGGCUUCAUCCCAGCGUCUCUUGGAAAUUUAUCUGUGCUUGAAUCCUUAGACCUUUCUUCAAAUCAAAUUGGCGGACCAAUCCCUGGGCAAUUAGGGAGUAUUUCAUCUCUUGAAGUGUUGAAUCUCUCACAUAAUAAACUUGUGGGAUGCAUACCUCAAGGCAAACAAUUCAAUACAUUUGAAGCAAAUUCAUAUCAAGGGAAUGAUGGAUUGAAAGGAAACCCUUUGUCACGAGGUUGUGAGAAUGACAUGAGACCGAAACUUCCUACACCAAAGGAUCUCCACUAUGAAGAUGAUUCUAGUUUUUUGAGCGGAUUCACGGUAAAAGUUGUGGCAAUAGGGUACGGUUGUGGUAUUCUUUUUGGAUUAUUCAUGGGAAGUCUCAUGCUCCUAACUGGAAAGCCAGAAUUCAAUACAAAGUUUGUUGAAGAAGAAGCAUACAAACUAGCAAUGAAGGUCAAAAGAAGAAGAUCAAAGAUAAGAAGAAGAAGAAACUAGUUUUGCAUGUCAAUGCUCGCUUCUCUCCCCAUGACAAAUAUAAUACUCAAGACAGAGAGUGAUGUUGAAGAUGUGCUCUGCUUUGUUGUUGGCUCGGAAGCUACAUCUCAAGUACUGAUUGAUUUCAGAUCUCUAGCUUGGUGUUGUGACACAUAUAUGUUAAUAUGAGAUAUAUGAUUUUGGUAUGAUUAUGAAUGUUCAAUUCAGGCAUGAUGAACAAUGUCUUUGUUAGUGUUUAGAGCUUUCUUUCUAAAAUGGAUUUAUUUUGGCUAUUGGGGAAAAGAUUAUUACUUUAAUUUCUAUCAAUAGAUUAUAACUUGAACAAUUUGCAU